rnacentral:misc_RNA from 1 species
GAUGAAGAACGCAGCGAAAUGCAAUAAGUAAUGUGAAUUGCAGAAUUCCGUGAAUCAUCGAAUCUUUGAACGCACAUUGCGCCCCCUGGUAUUCCGGGGGGCAUGCCUGUCCGAGCGUCAUUGCAACCCUCAAGCGCGGCUUGUGUGUUGGGCUUCGUCCCCCCGUGGACGUGCCCGAAAGGCAGUGGCGGCGUCCCGAAUGGUGCCCGAGCGUAUGGGAACUCUCUUCCGCUCGAACCGGCCCAUUCGGCGCUGGUCGAACCCCAAUUUUUUUUUACCGGUUGACCUCGGAUCAGGUAGGGAUACCCGCUGAACUUAAGCAUAUCAAUAAGCGGAGGA